ACAUGCCUAUAUCAUAGCGUUAAUGCAUCAGAUACCAUUAGAAAUCCAUAGUUAAGUGCGCUCAUGAUAGAGUAGUACUAGGAUGGGCGACUGUUUGAUAAUUCCUAGUGUUUUACAUGCC
rfam:Picea glauca, whole genome shotgun sequence.